rnacentral:tRNA from 1 species
GGAAAGGUGCCAGAGUGGCUGAAUGGGCUCCCCUGCUAAGGGAGUGUCUUCUUUCGAGGACCGUGGGUUCGAAUCCCAUCCUUUCCGCCA